GUCGGUUUGGUACGCAAAAUUUUCCGUAAUUUAUCGCGUAUUUUGUCGUACGUGAGUGCAAAUUUUUAUCAGAAAUUUCGAUUAAAGUGACGAGCAAAUUCGGGAACGUAUCAAUUAGAUUUAGAUGUUCGCGAUUAACGGCAUUUCGUCGAUCGAUUGAUGCUGUUAAGAUGUGUGAAUUGUUAAGAUGUGUGAAUCUAGUUACAAUCUCAGUAAGAUAUUCAUCGAUUUUUGAAUGAAGCUGAUAUGUAGAGUGUCGACCGACAAUAUAAAGACGGAAUCUGUAAGGAUGAGAGCAGACUGCAGCAUGCAAGUUCGUGUUUCAGAUAUUCAUCAAUUUUUCUGGAGUUGAUCGCCAACGAUUUCAAAGCAAAAUCUACAGCGGCUGGAACAAAUUGCAGCGUUCAAGUUGGGACUCCACCUAGCCUUCCAUGAAAGGAGACAUGUUGUCGACGAAGGGCGGCAGGUUGCAGGAUGUACACGG